GCAGUGGGGAAUAUUGGACAAUGGGGGGAACCCUGAUCCAGCCAUGCCGCGUGUGUGAAGAAGGCCUUAUGGUUGUAAAGCACUUUAAGCGAGGAGGAGGCUACUUUAGUUAAUACCUAGAGAUAGUGGACGUACUCGCAGAA
rnacentral:rRNA from 1 species